rnacentral:rRNA from 1 species
UACGUAGGGUGCGAGCGUUAAUCGGAAUUACUGGGCGUAAAGCGUGCGCAGGCGGUUCGUUGUGUCGGCGGUGAAAGCCCCGGGCUCAACCUGGGAAUGGCCGUUGAAACUGGCGAACUGGAGUGUGGCAGAGGGGGGUAGAAUUCCACGGUGUAGCAGUGAAAUGCGUAGAGAUGUGGAGGAAUACCGAUGGCGAAGGCAGCCCCCUGGGCCCAAUACUGACGCUCAUGCACGAAAGCGUGGGGACAAACGAAGGAUACGAAACCCGGGUAGUCCAAGAA